GGUCUGUUGGCUCAGUUGGUCAGAGUGUGUGGUGCUAAUAACAUCAAGGUCACAGGUUCGAAUCCUGUACAGACUG